rnacentral:rRNA from 1 species
UACAGAGGGGGCUAGCGUUAUUCGGAAUUAUUGGGCGUAAAGGGCGCGUAGGCGGCCAUGCGUGUCUUCCGUGAAAUCCCUCGGCUUAACUGAGGACGUGCGGAAGAAACUGCAAGGCUCGAGUCCGGGAGAGGGGGGUGGAAUUCCCAGUGUAGCGGUGAAAUGCGUAGAUAUUGGGAGGAAUACCGGUGGCGGAGGCGGCUCCCUGGACCGGUACUGACGCUGAGGCGCGAAAGCGUGAGUAGCAAACAGG